rnacentral:lncRNA from 1 species
CCUACCUGUUUAUGGGUGGGAGCUGCCAGCCUGCUGGCACGUUUCCUUCAUUCAUGCUGAACAAGACAGAAAAAUCAAUUUUUCUCUGUUCCGUUUGAAAGAGCAGCAUGAAAUCCCGCAUAUGUAGCGGAUCAUCUUGAAAGGCUUAGCAUUAGGAUCCCUUUCAAUAUCCUCAUUUUCGCUCUUCAGAUCUCAGCACCAACUCCAGAUGCCCUGGAAUUUUAACAUCUCUCUCCCUCUCUCUGAUUUCCUGGAAGUAUCACGAGCUAUCACACUAUGCCAAAAGCUAGGAAUGGAAUCAUUUCCGCAGCCAGUAAGCUCAUCAACAGAUUAUCCUGAGUAAUAGAAUAUAUUCUUUUAAAUAUUAUUAAAUGUAAGACUAUAUUCCUUAAUGAUUAUUUAAUUCAAUAACUAUUAUUUAAUUUUGCAUUAUUUGGAGGGACAAAAGUUUGCCCUCAAGUAGAAAAGUGUAAAGGUGAUCAACUCAGAAUUUUGAGAACUUUUGUAACUUAGACAAUACACUAUUGUAAUUUUUAGUACUAUAAGAUUUUUUACUUUAUUGAAAGAAUGAAAAUAAUAGUUGAUAAUUUAUUUAAUACCUUUCUUUUUCAUCUUCUCUUUUCCCUUCCCAUUUCAGAUAAAACUUCUGGGAAAGAUCACAGGACAACCUUCUGAUUGAGUGAUGAAAUACUAAGAACAAAUGGACCAGCUGCUCUUUCUGUAGGAAACCAACAUCUCACAAGAGCAGAGGAACAGUCUCCUUUCUGUCUCAGCUUCGUGCAUCCUUCCAAAUGGCAUUUCAAACCCCCACAUGGAUGCACACCCUACGAAGAGGCAAAGGUCACCUUUUAUCGCAAAACUUCAGCUUUUGAAGUUUACCUCCCAUGCCUAACUCAAACUCCUGACUACUUUCCUACGCAACCUCAACUGGCUCCAGGAAAGUACCACAUCCAACAAAACCCACAGGACGGUCCAGCUCUUGGGAAAGGGGGAAUGGUUGUCUUUGAAAGACAGUAAGAAAAAUAAAAUGCAU